rfam:Parcubacteria bacterium GW2011_GWB1_41_4 TT61_C0021, whole genome shotgun sequence.
GCCCAGGUGGCGGAAUCGGCAGACGCGCUAGCUUCAGGUGCUAGUGACCGCAAGGUCGUGGGGGUUCAACUCCCCCCUUGGGCA